AAGAUAGAGGUUGCGUUUUUUAUCAGUAUCCAUUCGGAUGUCAAGGAGCAGAGGAAGAGUGGGGAAAGGAGAAAACGCCGAAAGGAGAUAUUACCUGAAGAUGUUUCCUUGGGCAUACAGUGAAUAAUUGUAUGACUGUCAUCAAUUAAGAUGGGGAGCUAUCGGA
rnacentral:ncRNA from 1 species